rnacentral:lncRNA from 1 species
UCCAGGUCGGAAAAAUCUACGUAAUAAAUAUAUUUUCAAUGAGGCAAAUGAUUAGCCUGAGUGGAUAGUUCUCUCUAGACUUGAACAUAACAUAUAUUCUCCUUCAAAAUGAUUACUAAAUCGGAAAUCACGUGGAAGGAUACCUGAUAUACAUUGAUUUGAGAACAUAGCAUAUCAGGCUUCCUCGCCAUAUUUCCUCUCAAUGAUCACGUCUUUUAAAACUGCUUGGUUGCUAUUAUUUGUAGUGUUGACUUUGCAGUUGAUAUGUGUUGGUGGGAGAAACCACUAGUGGUGGCUCUGAUACCAAUUGUUGGGGAUUCUGCUCUCCCUGCGAAACGGUAGUGUUCAUGAUCAUUGCUCAAAGGAGGCUAAGCACACUAGCACACAAUAUUUAACGUGGUUCGGCAAAUUACCUACAUCCACGGGAGAGAUUAAUAUUAUUAGAGAUAGAGAAAAAAUACAACACACGGAGGAGGAUCACAUCCACUCAACUCCCAUCUCUCAUUGCUACAUAGGGCAGCAGCUGCAUACAGCAGCAGGGUUGCUGGUGGCAGCCCUUCUCUUUCUUUCUCUCUUCUUCUCUCUUUUGUUC